rnacentral:rRNA from 1 species
ACGGCGCACGGGUGCGUAACACGUGGGUAAUCUGCCCUUCGAUGGGGAAUAACCUCGCGAAAGCGAGGCUAAUUCCGCAUAACAUUCCGAGAACCUCGGUUUUUGGAUUCAAAGGCGUAAGUCGUCGGAGGAGGAGCCCGCGCACGAUUAGCUAGUUGGUAGGGUAAUGGCCUACCAAGGCUAUGAUCGUUAGCUGGUCUGAGAGGAUGGCCAGCCACACUGGAACUGAGACACGGUCCAGACUCCUACGGGAGGUAGCAGUGGGGAAUCUUGCACAAUGGGCGAAAGCCUGAUGCAGCGACGCCGCGUGGGGGAUGAAGCUUCUCGGAGUGUAAACCCCUUUCGACCCGGACGAAUGCCCCGCAAGGGGACUGACGGUACGGGUAUAAGAAGCCCCGGCUAACUACGUGCCAGCAGCCGCGGUAAGACGUAGGGGGCCAGCGUUGCUCGGAAUUACUGGGUGUAAAGGGUUCGUAGGCGGUGUAGCAAGUUGGGAGUGAAAUCUCUGGACUCAACGCAGAGGCUGCUUCCAA